GACGAACGCUGGCGGCGUGCCUAAUACAUGCAAGUAGAACGCUGAAGGAGGAGCUUGCUUCUCCGGAUGAGUUGCGAACGGGUGAGUAACGCGUAGGUGACCUGCCUGGUAGUGGGGGAUAACUAUUGGAAACGAUAGCUAAUACCGCAUAAUAACAGUUGUUGCAUGACAACUGUUUGAAAGGUGCAAUUGCACCACUACCAGCUGGACCUGCGUUGUAUUAGCUAGUUGGUGGGGUAACGGCUCACCAAGGCGACGAUACAUAGCCGACCUGAGAGGGUGAUCGGCCACACUGGGACUGAGACACGGCCCAGACUCCUACGGGAGGCAGCAGUAGGGAAUCUUCGGCAAUGGACGGAAGUCUGACCGAGCAACGCCGCGUGAGUGAAGAAGGUUUUCGGAUCGUAAAGCUCUGUUGUAAGAGAAGAACGAGUGUGAGAGUGGAAAGUUCACACUGUGACGGUAUCUUACCAGAAAGGGACGGCUAACUACGUGC
rnacentral:rRNA from 1 species